UCCGUAGGCGGGCAAUUAAGUCAGAGGUGAAAUCCCACAGCUCAACUGUGGAACUGCCUUUGAUACUGGUUGUCUUGAGUUAUAGUGAAGUAGAUAGAAUGUGUAGUGUAGCGGUGAAAUGCAUAGAUAUUACAUAGAAUACCGAUUGCGAAGGCAGUCUACUAACUGUAUACUGACGCUAAUGGACGAAAGCGUGGGGAGCGAACAGGAUUAGAUACCCUGGUAGUCC
rnacentral:rRNA from 1 species